rnacentral:lncRNA from 1 species
UAAUUUCGAACUCCCUGAAUAAAUAGCUACUAUAUUAGAAGAAGAAGAAGCAGCAGCAGCAGCCCUGCAGCAGUUUGAAUAAACCCUAUCUUAAACCCCUGCAGCUCUACCCUUCUUAGCCAUUCCUUCAGUCUACUCUUCUUUGUAAGAUUAGAUUUUUAUUUGAUCUCAUUAGCUACGAAUAUGAUUACGGGUUACUAAGUUGUGAUUGUAUUUUCCUUAGUUUCCGAUUCAUUUUCGUAGUUGAAAUGUUAAUUUCUUUUUGUGAAUUCUUAAUAUUUGGUAUUCAAUAUGCCUGUGAUGGGUAUAAAUAUACUUUGAGUACUUUUUCACUAUGAAAUGAACCUAAUCUGAGGCAUUGAGGCUUUUUAUUAUAUUGGUUGUGAUCUAUAAAUUUCACAUUUGUUUCCCCAAAAGUCCUAAACUUUGUUGAGUGAUUAAAUUCAUUUAUUUGAAAAUUAUGGGAUUCUUGGCUAUCGGUUGCAAGUGAUGUUAAAAAAGACAGGGACAUCAGAACUCCAUCUGGAGAAAAGAUGACUAGGUCUAUGGGAAUCUCUUUGAUGCAAUUUCUCCAAAGCCUUCUGCUUUUGUCUUCUUUUAAAAUAUCAUUGUUGAAAUAGUCAUUUUUGAAUUAUGAAAAGCAAUCCCAUUUUUCAUCUCUACUUUUGAAUUUUUCUCAUCUUAGUGCCUGUGAUGGUUCUAAAUAUACUAUGAGUUUCUCUACCAUGAAAACAACUAAAUCUGAGGCACUUAUAUUGCUUUCAAUUGAGAUGUGUUUACUCAUUUUGAUCGAAGCUUAGUUUGUAAUGAGCUAGUAAAUGAUUCUUUUUUAUUUUAUCGGAUAAGUUGUUGAUUGAGUUGUUUAUUUUUAAGCUACGAAAAUGGUUUGCUCAACAAAAAAAAGAAAGUGCAAGUGAUGAUAAACAGACAGGGACAUCAGAAACUCCUUAGGAGUAUAUGAUGAUUUGUCAAUGGGAAUCUCUCUGAUGCAUGCUACUUUUGACUGGACUUAAUAUUGUUGUUGAAUAUAACUUUCUUGUAAAAUGUUUUGUUUAAAAUAGUUUUUGGAAGCAUUGUUUGUAUUCCUAUCGUUAUGCUUAAAUGCGUUAGUUUUCUUUCAGUCUCUAGAGAUUUUUGUAAUUCCCCAUUUCUUACAAUCCCAAAUGCCAAUGAUGCAUCCAUUACAUAUCAUGAGAUUACUACACAAUGAUUAUUGUUAUGAAUCAUCGCAGCUGAGGCUAUAAAUACAUUGGGUUGUUUUGUCCUGACUUUUAAAUAUAUUAUAAUUGAUCAAGCAUGUUUUCAUUUGUAUAAUUUCAGAAACUAGUGCAGAGGGUUCUUUCCUUUUUAUACUAUAUAUUUGAAUUUUGGUGAGUGGCUGUUGGGCAAGCCUAUAAAAACUUGGCAUUCUUUGAGACUGUAGUUUGCCAAUGAUGCAUUAUCUGCACGUAUUAUCAGAAAUAAAAUGAUGAUAUAUGCAAUUGUCACUACCUCUGAGGCAAACACUAAAUUACCUAUUUUUUCUUGUUUUUGGAAAACCCUUGAUUGUCCCAUUUGAGGCAUUAUUUUUUGGAAGUUUGGCAUGGAAAACCCUUGAUUGUCCCAUUUGAGGCAUUAUUUUUUGGAAGUUUGGCGAGUUGGUUUUUGUGGUUUAUGUAUAUUUUUUCUAGACAAGACUGUUCUUUGGAUACAGCCUGAUGAUUGCUUUCCAAGAACGGAGAUUUGAAUGGUGAUCUUUGUUGUAGUCUGACACGAACUCGGGCUCCAAAGGCAUCAAUGUAAUUAUAAUGUCUUAAUUGAAAAUGAAGGCUUGUUACUUUUAUGUUGUGCUCUUCAUUGAUUUAUGCUGAACACAAGUGUAGUUGCAAUUGUCAAGGCAUACUUUUCUUGAUAAAUAAAAAUUACUCGUCAGACAUGAUGAAUGUCUUAUUAUAUUACAUUGUUAUAGCAUUCUCCUGAAGUGGCCUGCUGCCUGCUGGAACUGCUGUGAUGUAUCGUCCGCUUGUCAAAUGAGCAUCUAGGACCUAUUAUAUAAUCGGCAUGUAGGUGAGCGGUGGUGUAGGACUAUGCUGCAGCUUGUUUUUUCUUUAGCGUUACAAAUCAAUAUUAGUAAUGUAGCUAGUUAUGCAUUCUCAGAGCCAAAUUUUGUUGAUAGAUUGUUGAAGAUCAUUGGUGCUAUGUCUUGUCAAAGGACAGUGUAAGAAAGUUAUUUUAAAAAUAAAUAAAUAAAAUUAAUAAUUUGGUAUUUGUCAU